UGGCUCCAUUCGAGGCGUUGUAUGGAAGAAAGUGUCGUUCUCCAGUAUGCUGGGAUGAGGUGGGUGAAGCAACGUUGUUGGGAUCAGAGUUGGUACGUAUGACUACGGAAAAGAUUCAAACGAUCCGACAACGUAUAAAAACCUCACAAGACCGACAAAAGAGUUAUGUUGAUCUUCAUCGAAAGGACGUGGAAUUCGAU
rnacentral:lncRNA from 1 species